CCUACGGGUGGCAGCAGUGAGGAAUAUUGGUCAAUGGCCGGAAGGCUGAACCAGCCAUGCCGCGUGAAGGUCAGUGCCCUAUGGGCGUUAAACUUCUUUUGUGCGGGAGCAAUAAUGGUCACGUGUGGCCAGACGAGAGUACCGUACGAAUAAGCAUCGGCUAACUCCGUGCCAGCAGCCGCGGUAAUACGGGGGAUGCAAGCGUUAUCCGGAUUUAUUGGGUUUAAAGGGUGCGUUAGGUGGGAGGUAAGUCAGCGGGGAAACGCCCCCGCUCAACGGGGUGAAGUGCCAUUGAUACUGCCUUGCUGGAGUGCGGAUGAGGUGGGAGGAAUGUGUGGUGUAGCGGUGAAAUGCAUAGAUAUCACACAGAACACCGAUUGCGAAGGCAGCUCACGGGUCCGCGAUUGACGCUGAUGCACGAAAGCGUGGGUAUCAAACAGGAUUAGAUACCCGGGUAGUC
rnacentral:rRNA from 1 species